rnacentral:lncRNA from 1 species
UUAUCAACGAGAUCCGGAGAAUUAUUUUUGAAUUCGGAACGAGACAAAUCAAAAAAGGAAAAUGAAAACAAACAUUGCCAUUUUUAUUUGUUUUUUUAAACUGCAAAAAUAAAUGAAAAACAGGGAACACCGCUUUUUGACUGAAAAACAUCCAUUUAUUAAUGAUGCAGAAAUGCAAAUUUAAACAUGAGGUGGCCUUCACAAUGAACCAUUACGUGUCGGGCAACACAUAUGGCUUUC